rnacentral:rRNA from 1 species
UACGUAGGGUGCGAGCGUUGUCCGGAAUUAUUGGGCGUAAAGAGCUCGUAGGCGGUUUGUCGCGUCGGCCGUGAAAACUUGGGGCUUAACCCCAAGCUUGCGGUCGAUACGGGCAGACUUGAGUUCGGCAGGGGAGACUGGAAUUCCUGGUGUAGCGGUGAAAUGCGCAGAUAUCAGGAGGAACACCGGUGGCGAAGGCAGAUCUCUGGGCCGUAACUGACGCUGAGGAGCGAAAGCAUGGGGAGCGAACAGG